rnacentral:rRNA from 1 species
GACAAACGCUUGCGGCGUGCUUAACACAUGCAAGUCGAACGGAAAGGCCCUGCUUUUGUGGGGUGCUCGAGUGGCGAACGGGUGAGUAACACGUGAGUAACCUGCCCUUGACUUUGGGAUAACUUCAGGAAACUGGGGCUAAUACCGGAUAGGAGCUCCUGCUGCAUGGUGGGGGUUGGAAAGUUUCGGCGGUUGGGGAUGGACUCGCGGCUUAUCAGCUUGUUGGUGGGGUAGUGGCUUACCAAGGCUUUGACGGGUAGCCGGCCUGAGAGGGUGACCGGCCACAUUGGGACUGAGAUACGGCCCAGACUCCUACGGGAGGCAGCAGUGGGGAAUAUUGCACAAUGGGCGGAAGCCUGAUGCAGCAACGCCGCGUGCGGGAUGACGGCCUUCGGGUUGUAAACCGCUUUCGCCUGUGACGAAGCGUGAGUGACAGUAAUGGGUAAAGAAGCACCGGCUAACUACGUGCCAGCAGCCGCGGUGAUACGUAGGGUGCGAGCGUUGUCCGGAUUUAUUGGGCGUAAAGGGCUCGUAGGUGGUUGAUCGCGUCGGAAGUGUAAUCUUGGGGCUUAACCCUGAGCGUGCUUUCGAUACGGGUUGACUUGAGGAAUUUAGGGGAGAAUGGAAUUCCUGGUGGAGCGGUGGAAUGCGCAGAUAUCAGGAGGAACACCAGUGGCGAAGGCGGUUCUCUGGGCCUUUCCUGACGCUGAGGAGCGAAAGCGUGGGGAGCGAACAGGCUUAGAUACCCUGGUAGUCCACGCUGUAAACGGUGGGUACUAGGUGUGGGGUCCAUUCCACGGGUUCCGUGCCGUAGCUAACGCUUUAAGUACCCCGCCUGGGGAGUACGGCCGCAAGGCUAAAACUCAAAGGAAUUGACGGGGCCCCGCACAAGCGGCGGAGCAUGCGGAUUAAUUCGAUGCAACGCGUAGAACCUUACCUGGGUUUGACAUGGAUCGGGAGUGCUCAGAGAUGGGUGUGCCUCUUUUGGGGUCGGUUCACAGGUGGUGCAUGGCUGUCGUCAGCUCGUGUCGUGAGAUGUUGGGUUAAGUCCCGCAACGAGCGCAACCCUUGUUCACUGUUGCCAGCACGUUAUGGUGGGGACUCAGUGGAGACCGCCGGGGUCAACUCGGAGGAAGGUGGGGAUGACGUCAAGUCAUCAUGCCCCUUAUGUCCAGGGCUUCACGCAUGCUACAAUGGCUGGUACAGAGAGUGGCGAGCCUGUGAGGGUGAGCGAAUCUCGGAAAGCCGGUCUCAGUUCGGAUUGGGGUCUGCAACUCGACCUCAUGAAGUCGGAGUCGCUAGUAAUCGCAGAUCAGCAACGCUGCGGUGAAUACGUUCCCGGGGCU